CCAAAUAGAAUUGAUGUUAUAUCUUGAUAAGACAUGCCUUUAGGGUUCAAAUACCAAAUACUAUUAGUUCGAUUCAUAUAAUCCUUUUGUUUUUGUUUCUUUUUUUAAUCAAGGAAUUGAUCUUAUUUUUUUCAAUGCAUUGCUGCAGUGAUCUUUCAUAAAAUAACUUCACAUGGCAAGGCCCUGAGCAACUAGCUUGUCACGAAAGCAUGUCAGACUACUUGUAUAGCAAUUAUUUACAUAUAUUUUUUGGUUCGAUAUGGUUUAUUCCUGAUAGAUCUUUCACCUUAUAUUUUUUGUUAGGAAUUUAAAACUUGACUUGUUCCGAAGCUCUUUAAUUGAAGAUGACGUUAGCAGAAGGCAAGAUCCUCAUUGUUUGAAGAGUUUCAACUGUCCACGAUAUAAGGACAGGUUUCUGGAGUUCCAUCAUCAUUGAAUGCUAUGACAAUGAUGUCAAUUUGUUCAAAUCUAUUUUUGAAUUUCAUCCUAGGAGAAUAUAUGUAUCAAAUAUUUCAGCCACUUAAAAUGAAAAUAGCUUUAAAAAUUCCACAUACAGUGAAGACUUUCAUUCAUA